GCGAUGGUGGUGUAGUUGGUUAUCACGUCAGUCUAACAAAUUAAUGCAAGGAAUUGCCGCAAAUUGCAGCAAUAGCAGCGUUUGUUAGGUCACUGAAGGUCCUGGGUUCAAGUCCCGGCCGUCGUA
rnacentral:tRNA from 1 species